GGCAUUCAUGAAAUAAUGGAGUCUUAUUAUUAACAUUUUUUAUCAUAAUAUUAUUAGUAUAUUCCAUAUUAUAUAGACAAUGUUAUUGUAAACACUUAAGGAAACCAAAUGUGGUCGGGUAGUAUCAGAUAGAGGGCAAAAAAUUUUUAAAGAAGAAGAAAAAGAGAACAUAACCAUGUAAAUAAUUGUUUAUUGAAUCUUUAAUUAUAUUUAAUAUUGUGAUUGGUAUAAGGUCGCUAUGGGUACAUGGACAUUAGAAGUUGCUAAAAUGGCUCUAUAUGUUACAUUUCCUGUGGCACUCUUCCAUUAUUUCAAUCAACCGCAAUAUUUUGAAGAAUGGGUGGUUAACACAAAACGAGAACUGUUUCCACCAGAAACUGAAGCAACAAAAAAAUUUCAAGCAACACUUGAGGAGAUUAAACGCAAACAAAAUCUAAUAUCUGCAGAACAAAUGGAGUCUGUAAAUAAAUAAAGUUUGUGAUGUAACUUUUUUUUUAAACUAUUGUUGAUUUUUAGUCUAUUUGCAAUUAAUAAAGUGUUUUAUGGA